rfam:Clostridium sp. CAG:594 genomic scaffold, scf153
AAAAGGUUAAUUGAAGUACCAAAGACAGUAGGAGUGAUAUAAUCACGUAACUUAUAUUCCUACCGAGGACAAAAAUCAAAAUAGGAUUUUAAGGUCUUUACGUCUUUGAUGUAGAGACCUUUUAAUUUAUAAA